rnacentral:rRNA from 1 species
UAGUCCACGCCGUAAACGAUGUCGACUUGGAGGUUGUUCCCUUGAGGAGUGGCUUCCGGAGCUAACGCGUUAAGUCGACCGCCUGGGGAGUACGGCCGCAAGGUUAAAACUCAAAUGAAUUGACGGGGGCCCGCACAAGCGGUGGAGCAUGUGGUUUAAUUCGAUGCAACGCGAAGAACCUUACCUACUCUUGACAUCCAGAGAACUUAGCAGAGAUGCUUUGGUGCCUUCGGGAACUCUGAGACAGGUGCUGCAUGGCUGUCGUCAGCUCGUGUUGUGAAAUGUUGGGUUAAGUCCCGCAACGAGCGCAACCCUUAUCCUUUGUUGCCAGCGGUUAGGCCGGGAACUCAAAGGAGACUGCCAGUGAUAAACUGGAGGAAGGUGGGGAUGACGUCAAGUCAUCAUGGCCCUUACGAGUAGGGCUACACACGUGCUACAAUGGCGCAUACAAAGAGAAGCGACCUCGCGAGAGCAAGCGGACCUCAUAAAGUGCGUCGUAGUCCGGAUUGGAGUCUGCAACUCGACUCCAUGAAGUCGGAAUCGCUAGUAAUCGUAGAUCAGAAUGCUACGGUGAAUACGUUCCCGGGCCUUGUACACUCCGCCCGUCACACCAUGGGAGUGGGUUGCAAAAGAAGUAGGUAGCUUAACCUUCGGGAGGGCGCUUACCACUUUGUGAUUCAUGACUGGGG